AGGGUUUGAUCCUGGCUCAGGGUUAACGCUGGCGGCGUGCCUUACACAUGCAAGUCGAACGGGGCUAUCAGCGAUGGUAGCCUAGUGGCGAACGGGUGAGGAAGACGCAGGGACCUACCGACCAGAGGGGGAUACCCGCUGGAAACGGCGGAUAAAACCGCAUACGCCCGGGUGAAAGCCCGGGGAAAAGCACUACGGUGUUACUGGACGAGGGACCUGCGGCCCAUCAGGUAGUUGGGGAGGUAACGGCUCACCAAGCCGACGACGGGUAUCUGGCGUGAGAGCGCGAACAGGCACAAGGACACUGAGAGACGGGUCCUACUCCUACGGGAGGCAGCAGUGGGGAAUAUUGGACAAUGGGCGAAAGCCUGAUCCAGCGACGCCGCGUGUCGGAAGGAGUCCUUCGGGAUGUAAACGACUUUUGGUGGAGACGAAUAAGCAGCUCAGGGAAUGGGGCUGUGAUGACGGUAUCCAUGGAAUAAGCCCCGGCUAACUACGUGCCAGCAGCCGCGGUAAGACGUAGGGGGCAAGCGUUACCCGGAAUUACUGGGCGUAAAGGGAGCGUAGGCGGGAGGUCAAGUCCGGUGUGAAAGACCCUGGCUCAACCAGGGAUGAGGGCUGGAAACUGACAAUCUUGAGUACAGCAGAGGAAGAGGGAAUUACCGGUGUAGGGGUGAAAUCCGUAGAGACCGGUAAGAAGGCCAGUGGCGAAGGCGCUUUUCUGGGCUGUUACUGACGCUGAGGCUCGAAAGCCAGGGGAGCAAACCGGAUUAGAUACCCGGGUAGUCCUGGCCGUAAACGAUGCUCACUAGGUGUGGGGCGCAUAGCGUGCUCUGCGCUGAAGCAAACGCAAUAAGUGAGCCGCCUGGGGAGUACGUCCGCAAGGAUGAAACUCAAAGGAAUUGACGGGGGUCCGCACAAGCGGUGGAGCAUGUGGUUUAAUUCGAUGCUAACCGAAGAACCUUACCAGGGUUGGACAUUGUGAUGGUAGUUGGUAGAGAUAUCAGCGACUUCUGCGAAUGCAGGAGAGUUACAAUCAGGUGGUGCACGGUCGUCGUCAGCUCGUGCCGUGAGGUGUUGGGUUAAGUCCC
rnacentral:rRNA from 1 species